AAUCGAUCAGACAUCCCUUAAUCAAAGGUUUUAUGCAGAGUAAAAGGAGAUUGCUUCUGGCUCACAGUGACAUGUUGGAGUGGAAUGCUAAGCUUAUCAAGGGAUUACUGACUUAUAUGUGAUGGUGGGCCUUUCUUCCUUUUGAAUUUUGGGCAGCCCAGUGCUGAAACAAUUGCCAGACUUCCUGCAGAAGAUAACAGCACUGCAUUUGGAGAUCAAGCGGUGUCCAUUUCUCACAUCACAAUUGUGAAACUUGCUGCCCAAAUACAAGUUUCCAUGGAACUGAACAGACAGAUAAUACGAUCAUUCAGGAGCGUUUUUCAAGCAGUGGUAAACCUUAAAGGAAAUUCGUUACCAAUUAGACUCAGGUAGCUCUUACCUGAACUGGGUAAUAUAUUAUGUAUAGAGUUUAUAAGCUUGAUCACUUUGUGGUUGUCAAUGCCUUAUAUAUAUUCUAGUUAUGGAUUCCAUUUAGAAUUUUGGUGUCUGAAGCUAGAUACAAAAUCAGUUCAAGUUGAUGGUGGUUCAGAUGCCUGAUUCUGUGGGACUGAAAAUUCACCAAGCUACACUUGUAUAUGGAACACACUGAUUGAAGCUUCAAGAAUGGUAUUAGAGUUGUGAAGCUGACAAGCAGUACAUAGGAGGGACUAUUAGCCGUACACGAUAAAGGAAAUUUGGUAUAUAGCCAUUUGACUGAUUGAAGUGAGGGCUCUUACCUAAACUGGGCUGAAAGAUAUUGUUGGUAAAUGGACUCUGAAAACAUUUUGUGCACUCUGUGUCUAAAUCAGCCCCUCAGAAAGAUUUGUUGCACACUCUCUCAAACUCUGCCAAAAUCAUUGUUAUCAAAGGACGGACCAUUAUCAAGCGGACUUUCACCAUAAAGGAAAUUUGGUCUGCAUUUGACUGAUUGAAGUGGCCCUUAACUGAAUAUGUUAUCAACAUCUUAAGCAAUCCAAGGCGCAAGCUUUUGUGAAAUGGACGUUAGUGCUGAUUGGGAUUUGAUUGGUAAAUGGGAUUUGGAAGAUUUUCUAUAAUCUGCAUCCUAACAAUAAACAUGGAGCCCGGUGAGUGCUCUUUAUGUGGCUGUACUCAAACUGAAAGAUCUAUUGGAUAUCCUCUAGUACCAAACCCUGCCACCUCACCAUCGUCGAAGGGUAAGGGAUUUGAAGAUGCAAAAUCAGUUGAAGUUAAGUGGUGGUUCAGUAACUGGAGCUCCAGGACUCUGUUGAGUGAGAAAAAGCAAUUUCACAACAAUUUGCUACAGUUACUUGAUACAAAAACUGUCUGUUGUUCUCAGCAAAGGUGGCAGUCGAAUGAACUUCUGAAGUCUGAGUUCAUCCAAGCUGAUUUUCUUAUGCGGCAUAUCGAGGGCUUGUGACAGUUAAACCUACUAAUGGAGUACUAAGAGCUUGUUGCAAUUUGCUCACCGUCGGCGUCAUGGAUUCAAGUACAGUGCAAUUGGACUAAGAAAAGAGGAUGAUUUACUGAUCGAGGGUUUCGCAAUCCGUCACCAGCUAACUGCGUGCCACUUAUCUCUGUCAAGUGUUAAUCAUCAUUCCUUCCCAUUUUUUACUGGUUUAGGGAAUCUGAUUUGGCCCAAACUUGUAACCCACCACCUAUAGGUGUUGGGACGCCUAGAAAACAUGAGUUUUACAAGUACUACAUUAAGAGUAUCAAUUAUAUGCUGCCCGAAUUUCAAGUGAGAGAAAGAUUGAGAUUCUAGGGCUGGGAAACACAGGUAUUGUGAGAGAAUUCUUGGUGGAUUUUUUCUUAUCACAAUCUAAUGAAAUCCUUCGGAGGAACUCUCCCCAAGACAUAGACACAGAUUUUGGCCAAA